rnacentral:rRNA from 1 species
AACUGAGACACGGUCCAAAACUCCUACGGGAGGCAGCAGUGGGGAAUAUUGCACAAUGGGGGAAACCCUGAUGCAGCGACGCCGCGUGAACGAAGAAGGUAUUCGAAUCGUAAAGUUCUGUCCUAUGGGAAGAUAAUGACAGUACCAUAGAAGAAAGCCCCGGCUAAAUACGUGCCAGCAGCCGCGGUAAUACGUAUGGAGCGAGCGUUGUCCGGAAUUAUUGGGCGUAAAGGGUACGCAGGCGGUUUAAUAAGUCGAAUGUUAAAGAUCGGGGCUCAACCCCGUAAAGCAUUGGAAACUGAUAAACUUGAGUAGUGGAGAGGAAAGUGGAAUUCCUAGUGUAGUGGUGAAAUACGUAGAUAUUAGGAGGAAUACCGGUGGCGAAGGCGACUUGCUGGACUUCAACUGACGCUGAGGAACGAAAGCGUGGGUAGCAAACAGGAUUAGAUACCCUGGUAGUCCACGCCGUAAACGAUGAGUGCUAGGUGUCGGGGGUCAAACCUCGGUGCCGCCGUUAACACAAUAAGCACUCCGCCUGGGGAGUACGUGCGCAAGCAUGAAACUCAAAGGAAUUGACGGGGACCCGCACAAGCAGCGGAGCAUGUGGUUUAAUUCGAAGCAGCGCGAAGAACCUUACCA